rnacentral:rRNA from 1 species
CGGUAAUACGGAGGGUGCCAGCGUUUUUCGGAAUCACUGGGCGUAAAGGGCGCGUAGGCGGCUAUGCAAGUCAUAUGUGAAAGCCCACGGCUUGACCGUGGAAGUGCAUGUGAAGCUGCAUGGCUUGAGUAUCGGAAGGAAGAGUGGAAUUCCCGGUGUAAAGGUGAAAUUCGUAGAGAUCGGGAGGAAUACCGGUGGCGAAAGCGACUUCCCGGACGAAUACUGACGCUGAGGCGCGAAAGCGUGGGGAGCAAACAGGAUUAGAUACCCUGGUAGUCCACAGCUGUAAACGAUGAACACUAAAUGCAGGGAGUGUUGACCCUCUCUGUGCCGCAGCUAACGCUUUAAGUGUUCCGCCUGGGGAGUACGGCCCCAAGGUUAAAACU